rnacentral:rRNA from 1 species
GACGAACGCUGGCGGCGUGCUUAACACAUGCAAGUCGAACGGAAAGGCUCCGGCUUGCUGGCGUACUCGAGUGGCGAACGGGUGAGUAACACGUGGGUGAUCUGCCCUGCACUUCGGGAUAAGCCUGGGAAACUGGGUCUAAUACCGGAUAGGACCGCACUUUGGUGUGUGUGGUGGAAAGGUUUUUCUGGUGUGGGAUGAGCUCGCGGCCUAUCAGUUUGUUGGUGGGGUAAUGGCCUACCAAGACGGCGACGGGUAGCCGGCCUGGGAGGGUGGACGGGCACAUUGGGACUGAGAAACGGCCCAGACUCCUACGGGAGGCAGCAGUGGGGAAUAAUGCACAAUGGGGGAAACCCUGAUGCAGCGACGCCGCGUGGGGGAUGAAGGCCUUCGGGUUGGAAAAUCCUUUCGCUAGGGACGAAGCUUUUUGUGACGGUACCUGGAGAAGAAGCACCGGCUAACUACGUG